ensembl:lncRNA
AAAGAAAUGAAACCGUGUCCUGGGAGUCGGGUUGUAAAAAGGCUGUUACCUGGUAGUUUUCAGGCUCAGGCGCUAUAAAGUGACUUUUACAAGGAAGGGUUCUGUUUGAAGGCAUGAGGGCCGUGGGGAACGCGGCAGAAGGUCGGACGGGAGCGGGGUGCCCCGACGGCACAGCUCUGUAGUGCGUGCUGGCAGUGAGCCUCGAGAGGCGGCGGUUUGGGGCUGUUUUGUGUGAUUGCAUCCCCUGCAAAGGGCCGUUGUUUGUCGGGGACUUUUGGGUUAAUCUUUUCCGACCAAGCACAGAUUUUUUUGUUAAAAAACAAAACAACACAUUCGGAGCGAAUCUUCAUUCCUUCUAGCCGAGAUAUCCUGCGCCUCAAUCCUCGACUUUCCCCUUAAAGGUUCUAUGCCUAUUUCUCCUUCCUUUUCCUCCUCCCCAGUUCCCCGACGGCUCUCGGUUCUGGAAAAAGGCUGAGGACAAGUGCAAGGAGAGGGGCCGGGGCUGCUGUCUGCCUUUGCCCCCGGGCGGGGUGGAGGCACCGCGGGCUGCCAGUGUGCAAAGCGAGCCUGGACUUUGGCCCAUAGGGGAAAGGACAGGGACGAGUCUGCACGGAAAAGCCCCCCCGCCUCCCCGAGGGGUCACAGUGCAGGAUCAGACCCUGAAGGAGGAAUUAUAUUCUUUAUUAAUGGAGGAUUUUUGGCUACGUUCCCCAUUGCUGUACAAAAGGCUGUUGAAAGAGCAAGUGGGAAAGCGAUUGGAAGAGAAGAGAGGCAGAAAGGCGCUGAAAUGGGGGAAAACCCCCGACUUCGUAGCACCCAGCUGCUGCAAUCCGGGUGCUGCGCUCAGUCCUGGGAGCAUCGGGAAAGGAGACCACAGAAAAGAGAGCAAAGACCCCUCCGGGUCUCGGAGAGCUUCGAAAAAAGUCUCCUCUCUCUUCCUCUCCAUAUGUAUGAAUUUUCGGUUUAUACCUCUAAUUUCCAAAAGCUUUUAAAUCCCUUCGAUUACCCUUUCUAUAAUAACUGCCCAUUAGUAGCUACUAAAAUCCGCUCCGUUUUAUUUUUUGAGUAUGUGCCGCGAAUACAGAACCAGUUGCGGUUAUAAACCAUCUCCUCCCAUCAUGAGCUUGAACAGAUUUCCAGCACUCCUUUCCCUCAGGCUUAAUUCCAGAAGGAGAUGCGGAUUACUAACGAAGAGAUUGGAUUAAAGAGAUUCUAACGAAGAACCAAUUUUCCCCUUUUUCUUCUCGCUCUCGGCUCGAGCCAUUUUGGAAACGGUGCCUCCAACCACCGGGAACCCGCUGAGUUGCUGUAGGGAUUUGGGGUUUUUAUGUUUGGUUGCGUUGUUGUUGCGUUGUUUGUUUGUUUUUCCCUUGGCAAUUGCAGCCCUGCAGAGGAUUGCGCCACAAAGCGCAUUUUUUUUUUUCUUAGAGACAAAAUGAAUCCCCGGUGAUUGUUAAAUUGCAGUGCGAGGCCAGGCAGCUAAUCCAGUGUAUAAAUCCUAUUCGGAGCAGGCUGGGUGCGGCUUCCUGAGCCGGGCAAGCUCCAGAGCUAACCCCACAAUGGGGAUCUGCGUGUCACCUCCCGGCUCCUCCUUGUGUGUCCCGACGCGACAAGUGGUUUUUCCAUUCCCAAAAGCACCGCAGCCUUAUUGCAUGUAACAUACAAAAUUCCCCUCCCCUGCACGUAGACUUGUACAGCCCGAGGGCAAAUGGACUGCGGGUACGUGAGGAUUUGUCCCAUGGGGCUGCGGGGACAGAGCUGAGCCCUCCCCUAUGGCAAAAGCUUCGGGCUGAGCGCACGCAGUUGGGCUUGGCUUUGGAUUUUUUGGGGAUGGGUUUUCGUGCCUCGGUAUAACCAAGGGGUUUUGUUUCACCUCCGAAAGGGUUUUCUCAAAAUAGCCCCCAUACCAAAAAUGGGGAGGCUGGAAAUAGCGGUGUGAGUAAACGCGUCGGAGUGGAGGAGCGGGGAGGAACAACGGGAAAGUCGGCGUGAGCCGCAGCCGCGCGUCCUCGUAUUAAAAAAUACGCGGCGGCAGCAGCGGCACCCCCCCCCCCCCUCUUCCCCCCCCGCAAAGCGGUGAAGUUUCCCAUUAAAAUUGACACCAGGGGAUGGUCUUAGCAGCCUCGUCCGCCCCGGAUUGGUGAGCCCCGCCGGAAGCCGCCUGCACACGCAUUUUCUAACAGAUAAGUCAAUCGGCAGAGACUUGCCCCCCUCUCCCCCCCCCACCUUAUCCCAAAAUACCGUUUUCGCAAAGCCGGAGCCCACCAGUCACCCGGCAGCUCCCAGCACUCCCCUCUCCGCCACCCACCCUCGGCUCCUUAGCUCUAAAGGAGGGGGAUGAGGGGAUGUUUCCCCCCUCGCACCUCCUUUGGGGGUGCAAAAGGGUCGGCAGCAGCCGGCACCGGGGGUCCCGCACCCAGCCACCCCUCCGGGCCCGCAGCUUCCCCGGUGCCGCAUAACCUCUGUCCUCAGUCGGCUCUGGGAUGACGUGGCUUCGCACCCACCGCAAUUGGGGAUUUCGAGGUGUCCGUUCUGCUGGAGGCUCCUUAUGGACCGGGGGGAAAUAAAAAGAGAAGAUAGGCCUUUUCUUUUUUGUCGCGGCACGAAAUACCGUCUUUAGGCAAGGGUCUAAAGAUGCUAAAACGGCACCAGAAAUCGAAGUCUAGGAAAGGAGUGAGAAAAAUGAAAUAACGCGAAAUCGGCCGGAGCUGGGGAAGGUUCGCUCUAACAAGUGGUGGGAGGAUGCUCUGCCAACGAGUGGGGCUGCCUCUUCUUUAUAUAUUUCCUUGGCUCUUAUUAUUAUUAUUAUUGCUAUUUUUUCUUCGGAGUGGGAGAGUUUGCUUAAAAAGUGAUCUUAAUUAAAAAGAGAAGGAGCGGAAUGGUUUCCCACGUGUAGAUUCCCGAGAAUACUUAAUGCUUCUCAUCAGCUGCAGCCGUCCGGAUAGAAAGCUGUUGGCUGCUUCUGCGGACGGGCGAGCAGAGCUGAUCGUCUUCCCCCUUCUUUAGCUUCUAUGAUCAUUUCUUCCUCUGUCUUCUCAAAGUUCAAGCUCUUUUUUAAAACAAAGAUCGGGAGCAAAACCGAUCUUUGUUCGCACCUCCACUUCUCCGCACCGUCUGUUGAGAGUUCCGUCUAUUCUCGGUUCCGACUCUUCACGGUUAGCAUCGUUUCUUUGUUUCUGCGUUGGGCUGAAACCCACUUAAUCUGCACCAUCCAGCGGGAAACGAAUCGGGGACUGCAGACACACGGCAGGGAAAUCCCUCUUGGAGCAAAGCUGGGAACUUCUGGAACAAAUCCCCCCCAAUAGCGGUUACCUCUCCUGAUGCCCACCCAGUCAAACCCACUACUAACCACCAUCCGCCCCACGCUUUCCAUCUGCGUGGCUCUUCCAUUCGCAUCGGUGUCCUCUCUUCUAUUUUAGUUUAUUUUCCUCCCCUCUCUGCCGACUCUUAGAGCCCGCUGUGUGGACGGAAGCUUGCUAGGCUUGGAAUUAAAAGGUCAUUUCGAGAGGAUUGCCAAGUCUACGUGCUGGGGGGACUCAGCCUUUUAUGCCGCCAUGUGUUGUCUCCGUCCGCUGCCAUAGGAAAGCAGUUGUGCCGUAAUGAGGUACCUUUAAAUUUAAUUUCCUGCCCCUCCCCUGCUUUAUGGAUUUCUAAUAACAAUGUUGGAAACCGGAGAAGAAACCUCUUAAAGUCUCCCGGACGGAGGGUUUAUAUAAAUAAUGGAAGGUAGCCGAGCUUAAUUAAGUUUUCCAACAAAUUGGUAGGAUAGGAAGAAAUGCGGUAUUUUGUUUAAGGGGACACCCAGAGAAGGAUGCAUUUCUGUUGGGUCUUUCCAUAGAAUUCUUAUCAAUAUUACUCUUCAAUUUAUUCAUUCUUAACUGAUUUUUUUUUCGGAGAUUUAAACGUAAUCCCAAAUAACCUGAAAUGUAUAAACUAAAAAUAAUUAAAAGAUUAAUCGGGGGGAGAAAGAAAGAAAAGAAGACUAAAACUGAGAUUUUUGGUCAGAUUUCCCCAUGAAAAAUAAAAUAGGAAAAAAAAAUCGAAUGAAUUGUUGGACCGAUAAAGUCUUAGCGAAGAGAGAGGUUUAAUGUCGGAUAAGUAGAUGCUCGUAUCCGACUGCAGGUUUGCUGGAAGUGUUUUGCCAACUCCUUUUCUUUAAUGCUAUCCAACGUUUCCUUCUCCCUUUUAAGUGCUGCUGGAUUCUUUCUCGAGGUUCAGCCUUACCCGCUCCACCCAAAGCUCCUGUUGCGACUUAAAGUCUUAUUCGAUUAAUUUAGAAGAUUUGCCGCAUCUGUGGACUAAUUAGAUGAUAUUUCUGUAAGCGAAGCUCCCCUCGCUCUCCCCAUCUCAGCUCACGAUGCCGGGUUUGGUGCAGAGCCCCAGGAUGGGGCUGAGACGGCUCCGAUCGCCCCAAAUUGGGGUCGGGUUUGUCGGGAUCAUUCUUACGUAUUCUCUCGCUGAGCUGUGGGAUCGUUUCGUUUCUGCACACCGUCUGCAUUUCCAGUUCACCCUGCAAAGAUACAGAAUUACUGAGAUAGGUGUGAUCGAUCUCCCCCCGCCUUUUUGUUCUAUUAAUUGGGGUUCUCCGGCACCGGAGGGAUUUUUAUCCGGAUUUUUUCUUUUUCUCCCCGGGGAUUUCGCACAGUUUGGUUUCUCUUAAUUGUGUGGGAAGUGGAUGCUGAGGGAGGGGGCUCCGGGGGGGGCCAAUAUCUCGGGUUUUCUGUCUGACUGCCGCACAGCCCACAAUUCCGGGGGCUGCGGCUCUCCGUGAUCUCAGGACGGAGCCGCACACCGUGAUUUGAGAAUGGGGAGCGGUGAGGGGGGGGGAAGAGUGGCGAAGCAAAGCGUUCAGGCCAGUCCUGAUAGGGAGGGCAGCAGGCCGGGCCGAGGGGUUCCGACUGCCCUCCACUUCGUGUUUUCUUGCUCCGAGGGGAAGUUUUCCCUCGGGAUUCCGCUUCACUUUUUUCUCUGGGGCCGCGUUUGAUGCCACUUCACGUCUAAGCAGGACUCGGGAUCCCUCCUGCCCUUCGGCACCCCUCGCUGCCCUCACUUUCAGGUCCCCACGCUCACCUCGAGCAUUCCCAGCCCGGAAUUUCCGACUUUACAGAGCCCUUUUGCUUGGAUCACGUCUGAGGGCAUCCCUUGGGGAGAGGGCUUCAGAGAAACAGCUUUAGUCGCGACCCUCUUUAAGACAGAAUUUCUCAUUUUUACUCACAAACCUUUCUCUCUUUGCUUUUUCCCUUCUUUCGCUUAAAGUUUGGGGGGGGAAAGAAAAAUCAAAACACAAAAAAAGCUCGGUUAAAAUGCUGGUGUUCGGCUUGGCAGAGGAAACAAACAAAGGCCGCACCGCGGAUGGCAGCGCUGGUGCGGAGGUAGCGCGGAGCGGGGGCCGAUCCCGGCCAGCGAGCGCCGCCCUGAG